rnacentral:RNase_P_RNA from 1 species
UUCUUAUAUCGAGUGAUAGCCCUAAGGGGAGGAAAGUCGGGACACACAGUCCUUUAAUGGACAAUCGUAGCGGGUAACGCCCGUCGAGAGCAAUCUUAGAGUUGCGAACAGAGACGAGCCUAUUAAGUUAGGUUGAAACGGCAAAAUACUUACGAGUGUGCAAGGCCGAGUCCACCUAGAGUGGAAGUGCCGCAAAGAUACAAUUGGUAACAAUUGUGCAAGAUAAAUUAUCGCAUAACACAAAAUCCCGCUUAUAGAUAUAAGAAUUAA